UGGUCCCAGGGGCCUCUGCAGUUGGCACCUGCCCAGCUGUGGUGCCUGGGACUGGAGAGGAGCCACAGGCGAGAGGAACGGCAGCCUGCAGCACCACCUGUACAGUGACUGGGCCGGACUCUAGGCCUGCAGCUGAGACACACUCACGGAGAAGGGCACCUGGUCUGGGAUUGGAGUCAGAGAAAGUGAGAACCGGGCUUCCCAGGUGGCUCAGUGGUAAAGAAUACACCUGCCGAUGCAAGAGACACAGGAUUCAAUCCCCGCGUUGAAAGAUACCCUGGAGGAAGAAACGGCACCCUGCUCCAGUAUUCUUGUCUGGGCAAUCCCAUGGGCAGAGGAGCUUUCGCAGGCUACAGUCCAUGGGAUUGCAGAGUCAGAUACAGCUGAGCCACUGAGCACACGCAUGUAUGUUCUUACACUGGACACAGAUUGGUAGGCCAUGUAGCAACAUGUCUAGGAUGAUGUGCUCUAGCUAGUGGGAUAAAAGUAAAACUAACAGCAUCAACUAAUACUGAGUUGGGAAGAUCCCCUGGAGGAGGGCAUGGCAACCCACUCCAGUACUCUUGCUUGGAGAAUCCACAUGGACAGAGGAGGCUGUGGGCUGCAGUCCAUGGCGUUGCAGAGCGUCUAAACUAAGCGACUGAGCACUGCACAGGGCAGGCAUUCUGCUAAAUUCUUUACAUAUUAUCACACUGGCAUCCUUGCAGCAACCUUUUAAAGUGCUAUCACCCCCAUUCUAUAGAUAAGGGAAUGGAAGCACAAAUCAAUUCAGUGACUUGCCCAGGGUCACAUACUGGUAACCAGCUUAAAUCCAAGUCUAUCCAACUUCUGUGUCCACUGCGUCUUCUGUGCCCCAUUUGGGGAACUAUAAUUUUUUUUCUUUUUGCUUUAUCUAUGUUUUCUAAGUUUUCUGCAGUGAAUAUGUGUUACAUAUAUAAUUUGUAAAAAAAAAAAAAAAAAAACACACACACACACAAAAAGGAAGAAGAGGACGGGGAGGAGGAUUCCUUGAGCUCUUUCGGGAUACCAGGGAUUCUGGACCUUGGGAAGGAGGCCUGGAGCACAGAGGCACUCACCAUUGACGACGGUGUUGUUGGCCCAGAUGACCCGCCCAUCCGGCAGCACCUUUUGGCUUUUAGGAAAGUGCAGGGCAACAGAGAAGGAUGCAUUUGCCCCAAUCAAUGUAGGCCCAUCAUUGCUGACCUUCAGGGA